rnacentral:lncRNA from 1 species
CGGGAACCUUUGAAAUGGGGAUCCCAACAACAGCAAGUCUUUCAUGAGUUAAAGGAAAAACUUCUGGCAGCCCCAGCCCUGGGGCUACCCGAUCUGACCAAGCCUUUUCCAUUGAAUGCGUCAGAUAGAGAAAAGAUGGCAGCUGGACUUUUAACCGAAACUCUGGGACCCUGGCUGUGGCCGGUGGCCUACGUGUCUAAACAACUAGAGAGGGUUUCUAAAGGAUGGCCCCUCAUGUUUGAGGGCUGUGGUAUCAACUGCCCUGAUAGUACGAGAAGCAAAUAAGCUGACUCUUGGGCAAAACCUGAACAUAAAGGCCGCCCAUUUUGGGUUGGGUGACAGCCAUCCCCUCUUCCCCCCCUGCCUUAGGACCCCCAUCGCGGAUCCUAAGAUCUUUAGGACUCACCUGGAGGACUGUGGGUAUUAGGUGUCCAAGAAGAAAGCUCAAAUCUGCCGAUGGCAGGUACCUUACUUGAGAUUUACUCUCUGACAGGGGUCCGACGCCACCUGGGAACAGAAAGAAAGCAGGUUAUUUGCAAUCUCCCGGAGCCUAAGGGCCGAAGGCAGGCGAGAGAAUUCUCAGGGGCUGUGGGGUUUUGUAGAUUGUGCAUCCCAAACUUUGCAGUAUUAGCCAAGCCUUUGUAUGAGGUCACAAAGGGGGCGGGGACCGGGAACCUUUGGAAUGGGGACCAAUCGCAGGGGUGGGAGGCACCCCCAACGAGGCAGGGACUGAGAGCCAGCCCCUCGUCCCCCCCGGCAUAGGACCCCCAUCGCGGAUCCUAAGAACCUUAGGACCCACUUGGAGGACUGUGGGUAUUAGGUGUCCAAGAAGAAAGCUCAAAUCUGCCGAUGGCAGGUACCUUACUUAGGAUUUACUAUCUGACAGGAGUCCGAACGCAGCCCGGGAACAGAAAGAAAGCAGGUUAUUUGCAAUCUCCCGGAGCCUAAGUGCCUAAGGCAGGCGAGAGAAUUCUCAGGGGAUGUGGGGUUUUGUAGACUGUGGAUCCCAAACUUUGCAGUAUUAGCCAAGCCUUUGUAUGAGGUCACAAAGGGGGCGGGGACCGGAACCUUUGGAAUGGGGAUCCAAGAACAGCAAGUCUUUCAUGACUUAAAGGAAAAACUUCUGGCAGCCCCAGCCCUGGGGCUACCCGAUCUGACAAAGCCUUUUCCAUUGUAUGCGUUAGAGAGAGAAAAGAUGGCAGCUGGACUUUUAACCCAAACUGUGGGGCCCUGGCUGAGGCCGGUGGCCUACGUCUCUGAACAACUAGACAGGGUUUCUGAAGGAUGGCUCCCCUGUUUGAGGCCUUGGCAGCAACUGCCCUGCUAGUACAAGAAGCAAAUAAGCUGACUCUUGGGCAAAACCUGAACAUAAAGGCCCCCCAUUUUGUGGUGGCUGAGAGCCAU